rnacentral:rRNA from 1 species
UACAGAGGUCUCAAGCGUUGUUCGGAUUCAUUGGGCGUGAAGGGUGCGUAGGCGGCGCGGUAAGUCGGGUGUGAAAUCUCGGAGCUUAACUCCGAAACUGCAUUCGAUACUGCCGUGCUUGAGGACUGGAGAGGAGACUGGAAUUUACGGUGUAGCGGUGAAAUGCGUAGAUAUCGUAAGGAAGACCAGUGGCGAAGGCGGGUCUCUGGGCCGAUGCUGACGCUGAGGAGCGAAAGCGUGGGGAGCGAACAGG